rnacentral:lncRNA from 1 species
GUGAAGUCUGGGAGAUGUCUGAAUGUCUCUCCUUACUCUAAUUAAAAUACACAUACCUAGCCGGUUUAGCUAGACCUGUGAGAUCCAAAGAGUAUCCAUUAGCCACAUGAAAUGAGCAUUCAAUAAAUGCUAGUACAAUUGAGAAACUGAACUUAUAAUUCCAUUUAAUUUUCGUUAGUUUAAAUGUAAAAACUGACACGAUUCAUUUAUUAAAAAACUUUAAGUAUGUUCAGAACUCCUUGGGUAUGUGAAUUGACUUUUUAUUUUCUUUCUUUCUUUCUUUUUAUUUAUUUAUUUAUUUAUUUGAUAUGAGGUCUCACUAUAUUGCCCAGGCUGGACUCAAACUCCUGGGCUCAAGCAAUCUUCCAGCCUCAGCCUCCCAAGUAGCUGAGACUAUAGGCAUGUACCAUUGAAUCUACUUUUUUUUUGAGAUGGAGUCUUGCUCUGUCACCAGGCUGGAGUGCAGUGGUGUGAUCUUGGCUCACUGCAACCUCUGCUUCUGGGUUCAAGAGAAUCUCUUGCCUCAGCCUCCUGAGUAGCUGGGACUACAGGCGCGUCCACCACACCCAGCUAAUUUUUGUAUUUUUAGUAGAGAUGGGGUUUCACCAUGUUGGCCAGGAUGGUCUCAAUCUCUUGAUUUCAUGAACUGCCUGCCUCGGCCUCCCAAAGUGCUGAGAUUACAGGCAUGAGCCACUGCGCCCGGCUGAAUCUACUUUUUCAACUGUAAAAUUUAUGAAGUCUUUAUACAAACCAAGCACUUCAAAUGGAAAUUUGCAUCUCAUUUAAAAUGCACUCUAAGUGUGAAACAUGCAUUGGAUUUCAAAGACUUAGUAUUAUUAGAAAGAAUAUAAAAAUAUCUCAUUAAUAAGUGUAUAUUGAUUACAUGUUAAAAUAUUAUUUUAAAUGCAUUGGGUUAAAUAAAAUAUAUUGUUAAAAUCUAUUUCACCUAGUUUUUAAAACUUUAAUGUGGCUCAUGGGAAAUUUAAAAUUACGUAAGUGGCUUACAUUAUUUUUCUAUUGAGUAUUCCUGGGCAAGACCAAAUCCUGGCUACCAGCAAGUAUACAGAUAAUGUAUAACUUGAAAUACUAAGCUGCUAAAGUAUUAAAAAUAAAUGUUUAUAAAACAUGGUAUUUUACAUUGAAAUGGAAUAAAAAUACUUUGACAUAAAUCAUAAUGCUGCUCCUCUGUCGACAGUAAGGAAGAAUUGAAACACGAGAGAACAGUUGUAAAAGUAGAUCAACUUUGGACUGAAAGUUGUUAAAAAGAAUAAAGAUAUUAAUCAGCCAUCUAACAGCAUUUUUGUUAAAGCAUCCUUAGAAUGGGUAGACUUGUUUGGAAGUUAUAAAUUCUGGUAUGUUUGCUAACAAUGGGUCCUACUUCUUACAGGGACACCUCAGUGGUAGACCUCAGUUUGGG